GAUGAACGCUGGCGGCGUGCCUAAUACAUGCAAGUCGAGCGAACAGACGAGGAGCUUGCUCCUCUGACGUUAGCGGCGGACGGGUGAGUAACACGUGGAUAACCUACCUAUAAGACUGGGAUAACUUCGGGAAACCGGAGCUAAUACCGGAUAAUAUAUUGAACCGCAUGGUUCAAUAGUGAAAGACGGUUUUGCUGUCACUUAUAGAUGGAUCCGCGCCGCAUUAGCUAGUUGGUAAGGUAACGGCUUACCAAGGCAACGAUGCGUAGCCGACCUGAGAGGGUGAUCUGCCACACUGGAACUGAGACACGGUCCAGACUCCUACGGGAGGCAGCAGUAGGGAAUCUUCCGCAAUGGGCGAAAGCCUGACGGAGCAACGCCGCGUGAGUGAUGAAGGUCUUCGGAUCGUAAAACUCUGUUAUUAGGGAAGAACAAAUGUGUAAGUAACUAUGCACGUCUUGACGGUACCUAAUCAGAAAGCCACGGCUAACUACGUG
rnacentral:rRNA from 1 species